rnacentral:rRNA from 1 species
UACGUAGGUGGCAAGCGUUGUCCGGAAUUAUUGGGUGUAAAGGGUGCGUAGGCGGGAAUAUAAGUCGGAUGUGAAAUGCCCGGGCUCAACUCGGGAGCUGCAUUCGAAACUAUAUUUCUUGAGUGAAGUAGAGGCAAGCGGAAUUCCUAGUGUAGCGGUGAAAUGCGUAGAUAUUAGGAGGAACACCAGUGGCGAAGGCGGCUUGCUGGGCUUUUACUGACGCUGAGGCACGAAAGCAUGGGGAGCAAACAGG